AGGGAGGAGCCCCCGGGGAGGGGGAAGGGACAGAUCUUUCAGUCUCCUCCCAAAAUUCGGAGCAGCCCGAAAUCGUGGGAGCCUCGGAGCCGAGUGAAGACCCCGCCCUGCUCAGCGCCGCCAACGCCCCCCCC